rnacentral:rRNA from 1 species
AACGAACGCUGGCGGCAGGCCUAACACAUGCAAGUCGAACGCGUCCUUCGGGACGAGUGGCAGACGGGUGAGUAACGCGUGGGAACGUACCCUUUGGUUCGGAACAACAGCGGGAAACUGCUGCUAAUACCGGAUAAGCCCUUCGGGGGAAGAUUUAUCGCCAGAGGAUCGGCCCGCGUUAGAUUAGCUUGUUGGUGAGGUAAUGGCUCACCAAGGCUACGAUCUAUAGCUGGCCUGAGAGGAUGAUCAGCCACACUGGGACUGAGACACGGCCCAGACUCUUACGGGAGGCAGCAGUGGGGAAUCUUGGACAAUGGGCGAAAGCCUGAUCCAGCCAUGCCGCGUGAAUGAUGAAGGCCCUAGGGUUGUAAAAUUACUUUCGACGGGGAAGAUAAUGACGGUACCCGUAGAAGAAGCUCCGGCUAACUUCGUGCCAGCAGCCGCGGUAAU